rnacentral:tRNA from 2 species
GCGGGCGUAGCUCAGCUGGUAGAGCACCACCUUGCCAAGGUGGAUGUCGAGGGUUCGAAUCCCUUCGCCCGCUCCA